AAGGGAACGUGUUGGUCAUGCAUUAAUGUUUAACGAAGGACAGUUACAGCAAAACAUUUGUCGAUUGUGUGCGCUGCUAUAUAGUGACGUGUCCUCAUUUUUGACUGUGUCAAAGUGCCAUUCAGCAAAGACUAUUGGUUUUCAAAUCACCUGUACUGGUAACAUGAACUUUAAUUUGGAUUGUGAGUCUGUGACUGAUGUAAACUGUUAAAAUGAUUCAAUUGAAUCAAAAUAUGUAUAUAUAGA